rnacentral:rRNA from 1 species
AGGAUGAACGCUGGCGGCGUGCCUAACACAUGCAAGUCGAACGUCCUGUCUCGCAAGAGGCAGGGAGUGGCGGACGGGUGAGUACCACGUGGGUCAUCUACCGUGAGGUGAGGAAUACCGGCGAGAAAUCGCCGACAAGACCGCAUAGGCUCGAUGCAAGUCGAGCAAAGCUCUUUCGAGAGAGGGAGCGCCACACGAGGAGCCUGCGCCCGAUUAGCUAGCUGGUGGAGUAACGGUUCACCAGGGCGACGAUCGGUAGCUGGUCUGAGAGGACGAUCAGCCACACUGGGAUUGAGAACGGCCCAGACUCCGUACGGGGGGCAGCAGUGAGGAAUUUUCGUCAAUGGGGGCAACCCUGAACGAGCAACGCCGCGUGCAGGAGAAGGUUUCGGAUCGUAAACUGCUUUUCUCGGGGAAGAGAAUGGACGGUACCCGAGGAAUCAGCCCCGGCUAACUACGUGCCAGCAGCCGC